AUUGAACGCUGGCGGCAUGCUUUACACAUGCAAGUCGAACGGCAGCAUGGGUGCGUGCACCUGAUGGCGAGUGGCGAACGGGUGAGUAAUGUAUCGGAACAUAUCCGCAAGUGGGGGAUAACGUAGCGAAAGUUACGCUAAUACCGCAUAUUCCCUAAGGGGGAAAGGAGGGGAUCCGCAAGGACCUUUCGCUUACGGAGUGGCCGAUAUCAGAUUAGCUAGUUGGUGGGGUAAAGGCCUACCAAGGCGACGAUCUGUAGCGGGUCUGAGAGGAUGAUCCGCCACACUGGGACUGAGACACGGCCCAGACUCCUACGGGAGGCAGCAGUGGGGAAUUUUGGACAAUGGGGGCAACCCUGAUCCAGCCAUGCCGCGUGAGUGAAGAAGGCCUUCGGGUUGUAAAGCUCUUUCAGCUGGAAAAAAAUCGCAUCACCUAAUACGUGGUGUGGAUGAUGGUACCAGCAGAAGAAGCACCGGCUAACUACGUGCCAGCCGCCGCGGUAAAAC
rnacentral:rRNA from 1 species